UGCUACCUGUUCUGCCCUAAGAGGGGGCACAGGGAACAAGUUACCCCAGCCACCCCUUCUGCCUUUGAUCACCGCAGCAGUGCACUAUUGCACUGCUGAGCUGGAAAAAUGAAUGACUGCAGCCGGAGGUCCGAAAAAGGGGCGGAGCUACACGGCACUAUACUCACAGUGACAGGCCAGCCAGCACCAUCGAAGAGAGGAGGGGAGAAGAGCAGCAGCACAGCACAGCACAGCCUAAAUAAAAGAGAGGAGAGACACUGAAGAAACUGAGGAUCAGACACCAGUGCACCAUACACCAUGCCACAAUGCCGCCCAGUCCCCAGGGUCCACUGCAUGCCAGUGUGACAGUGAUGUAAUCACCUUCUCAUGGCUGCUGGAAAAUGGAGGAGGUGCCGCCAAGCAAGUCCUUUGUGCUCGGCGGUGGAUUUUAAUUGCAGGCCCCUAAUCAUCAGAAAUGUAAAGAAUGGAACAAGAACAUUAAACAUAUUUUAAGAAAAACCUUAAAAAAUAAAAUUGGAUCCCGUGAGUUGUCUUCAACACUACAUCAUACUGUAUUUUGUAUUUUGGCAUGCACAGGAUGCACACUGCAAUUUGCACAAGUUCGCCACUCUGGACCAGCCUGGACACCUAAAAUGGAGCACCUAAUUUCUGCUCUCAGCCUCUGAAAUGAGCAUCUCUGUAGAAGGUGAAAUAAA